UUGUCUAUCUGUGCUGGUGGAGACACAUGUGCACGUUGGCAGGUCGCAAAUCCACACACCUGUGCAUCUAUGACUCUGAGUACCGCUUUGCAUGGCCCUUAGGGGUCUGGUACUCGAGUACUUUACACACUCUGAAUGUAAUGGAAUGUCUUUUGUACAAUGUACAACUAAAACAACUUUCAACAACGGAUCUCUUGGCUCUCGCAUCGAUGAAGAACGCAGCGAAAUGCGAUAAGUAAUGUGAAUUGCAGAAUUCAGUGAAUCAUCGAAUCUUUGAACGCACCUUGCACCCUUUGGUAUUCCGAAGGGUACACCCGUUUGAGUGUCAUUGUAAUCUCACUACAAUCACUUUAUUGUCGUUUGUAUGUGGACCUGGAUGUUGCCGUGUAACAAACGGCUCGUCUGAAAUGCCUGAGUGUACCCUGCUUUGCGGCGUAUUCGGUGUGAUAAAUCUUCACCGGAGUUGACUUUCGGGUCGCGUCUGCUUAACAUGGCUCUAUGCUUCCAACCGUCCUAACAAGACAACCUUUGACAAUUUGACCUCAAAUCGGGUGGGACUACCCGCUGAACUUAAGCAUAUCAAUAAGCGGAGGAAAAGAAACUAACAAGGAUUCCCCUAGUAACGGCGAGUGAAGAGGGAAAAGCUCAAAUUUUGAAUCUGGUGUCUUUGACUCCCGAGUUGUAAUCUAGAGAAGUGUUUUCCGCGUUGGACCGUGUACAAGUUCCCUGGAACGGGGCGUCAUAGAGGGUGAGAAUCCCGUAUAUGCCACGGACUACCAAUGCUCUGUGAUACACUCUCAACGAGUCGAGUUGUUUGGGAAUGCAGCUCAAAAUGGGUGGUAAAUUCCAUCUAAAGCUAAAUAUUGGCGAGAGACCGAUAGCGAACAAGUACCGUGAGGGAAAGAUGAAAAGCACUUUGGAAAGAGAGUGAAACAGUACGUGAAAUUGUUGAAAGGGAAGCGUUUGAAGUCAGUCACGUCUGUCGGAAUUCAGCCUGGCUUCUGCCUGGUGUACUUUCCGUCCGACGGGUCAGCAUCAAUUUUGAUCGAGGGAAAAAGACGUGGGGAAUGUGGCUGUCUUCGGGCAGUGUUAUAGACUCGCGUUGUAUGUCUCGGUUGGGAUUGAGGAACGCA
rnacentral:rRNA from 1 species